rnacentral:rRNA from 1 species
AUUGAACGCUGGCGGCAGGCUUAACACAUGCAAGUCGAGCGGAGAGAGGUAGCUUGCUACUGAUCUUAGCGGCGGACGGGUGAGUAAUGCCUAGGAAUCUGCCUGGUAGUGGGGGACAACGUUUCGAAAGGAACGCUAAUACCGCAUACGUCCUACGGGAGAAAGCAGGGGACCUUCGGGCCUUGCGCUAUCAGAUGAGCCUAGGUCGGAUUAGCUAGUUGGUGGGGUAAUGGCUCACCAAGGCGACGAUCCGUAACUGGUCUGAGAGGAUGAUCAGUCACACUGGAACUGAGACACGGUCCAGACUCCUACGGGAGGCAGCAGUGGGGAAUAUUGGACAAUGGGCGAAAGCCUGAUCCAGCCAUGCCGCGUGUGUGAAGAAGGUCUUCGGAUUGUAAAGCACUUUAAGUUGGGAGGAAGGGCAGUAAGUUAAUACCUUGCUGUUUUGACGUUACCGACAGAAUAAGCACCGGCUAACUCUGUGCCAGCCGCCGCCGUAAAAC